ensembl:lncRNA
GGGCAGUGCAUCCACCUACAAAGCGAAGAUUUAACCCCUGGCUUGUCAUGGGGUUGGGCUGGACAACAUGCAAAAAGGUAUGGCGCUUGUGUCUACAAACAACUGGAGGGAUUCCACUAGCAGAAGAGUGGGUGGAGUGUACAGUAAAUGACUGUCCUAUGCAUCAGACUUACAAACAACUGGAGGGAUUCCACUAGCAGAAGAGUGGGUGGAGUGUACAGUAAAUGACUGUCCUAUGCAUCAGACUUACAAACAACAACAACAAAGAGCCCUCAGUAAAAAGAUUUUGGAACAUGCCUGAACCAAGGCGCAUUUUGUGGCAGCAAGCCUUGUAGACAAGGCUAAAGAGGACACCCAGGUUAACACUCAAGACGAAGAAGAAGGAACAAAAGAUAGAAACUACAGCCAAAGUCUUCAGAACAGCCUUAGAAGGAGGUUAAACAUCAGCCACAGGCCCAGACAGUCUUCAGAACAGCCUUAGAAGGAGGUUAAACAUCAGCCACAGGCCCAGACAGUCUUCAGAACAGCCUUAGAAGGAGAUUAAACAUCACAGCCACAUGCCCGCUCAUGGCUUUGAGCAAGAAGUUGACUCUCAGGAGUUAAAUGGACUUGCAACGGGGAGAGUAAUUGUGGGUGGUUUUGAAAACUAAGGCAGGACAUUAUUCCCUGUAACUUGUAAUCUUGAUGUGCUUCAUAUUACCACAGAGGCAGCAGGCCUAUAUAUUCUCAUGUGUGUGUUCUGCUGUAGCCUACAUUGAUUUAUUUCAUUUGAAGUUAUAUUCCGAUAUUGCGCUAUAUGUUUUACUGCUACAUCGAUGUCUUGAAAAUGAUAUGAAAUUCGGGUCUUGUGAACCCCACAGCGGGUGUUCUGCAGCGUCUUCUUAACAGUUUGUUGUACAUUGAUGUCUAGAAAAUUGGGCUACAUGAAAUUCGGACUUGUGUAAACACCGCUAUACUCAAGUAUGUGGGCAUACUGCAGUGAAUUCUAAAAUACUUUGAAUAAAUUAGCACCUUGGAGUGCUGUCCGUUUCACCUCCAUAGAUAGUAGGCUACUUGGAGAGUGCUGUCUACUAUCUAUGGAGGUGAAACGGACAGCACUCUCCAAGUAGCCUACUAUCUAUGGAGGUGAAACAGGACAGCACUCUUCAAGUAGGUAGUAGGCUACUUGGCUGCCAUGGUGUUUUG